rnacentral:rRNA from 1 species
UACGGGGGGGGCUAGCGUUGUUCGGAAUUACUGGGCGUAAAGGGCGCGUAGGCGGUCUAUUAAGUUGGAUGUGAAAACUCUGGGCUUAACCCAGAGCCUGCAUUCAAAACUGAUAGGCUGGAGUUCUGGAGGGGAUAGCGGAAUUCCUGGUGUAGCGGUGAAAUGCGCAGAUAUCAGGAGGAACACCAAUAGCGAAGGCAGCUCGCUGGGACGUACUGACACUGAGGCGCGAAAGCGUGGGGAGCGAACAGG